UGGGGAAUAGUUUAACUGGUAGAAUGGUGGACUCUGAAUCCAUUGGUCCUGGUUCGAAGCCAGGCUCCCCAGCCA
rnacentral:tRNA from 1 species